GCCGCGAGGCAGAGCGAAUCCCUAAAAGCCGUCCCAGUUCGGAUUGCAGGCUGCAACCCGCCUGCAUGAAGUUGGAAUCGCUAGUAAUCGCGGAUCAGCAUGCCGCGGUGAAUACGUUCCCGGGCCUUGUACACACCGCCCGUCACACCAUGAGAGUUGGCAACACCCGAAGUCGGUAGUCUAACCGCAAGGAGGACGCCGCCGAAGGUGGGGUUGAUGAUUAGGGUUAAGUCGUAACAAGGUACC
rnacentral:rRNA from 1 species